ensembl:lncRNA
CUUACUGUUAAUCGCUCACUUCUGCCGGCGUCUGCGUGGAAUUUCACAGGAGUUUAUGCAUCUCAUCUCAAAGUAAGGAAUAUAUGGGAUUGAAUACAAUUUAAGAUACAGAAAAUCAUUUCUACUUGUUUAGUUUGAUAAAUCAAUAACGUAAUAAUGUAUAACACACAUUUUUACAAUGAUAAAUCAAAACCAUAUUUUCUGGUGUCUUUAUUAUUAUUUAACCCAGAAUAUUUCUCUGAAGGAACCAGUCACACGUGGCAUUUUGGGAAAUGUUUUGUAGUUAGUAUGACUGGCUAUUUUGGUUUUAGUCACAAAACAGUCACUACAUAACCACUGACGAUUCUAAUGAUCCACUUAAAGGAAUAGUGCACCCAAAUGUGGACAUUUACUGUUAAUGUGCCCACUCUCAGGCCAUCCAAGAUUAGGAUGAGUUUGUUUCUUCAUCAGAUUUGGAGAAAUGUAGCAUUGCAUCAGUGUCUCAACAAUGGAUGCUCUGCAGUGAAUGGGUGCCGUCAGAAUGAGAGUCCAAACAGCUGAUAAAAACAUCACAAUAAUCCACAGUUAAUGUGUUGAGAAGUGAGAAGUCAAUCUUCUGUUGUCCUGUUGAUGUUGUUCAGAUCAAUCGAAAUAGCUGUGACAGUAUUAGACAAUUCUAGACAAUAUUGUAACUGCUGUAUUAUGAUAUUGUGAUGAUAUAUACUAUACUAAUUCUUUUAGCUUUUUUCCAUUUUGCAUGAAAGUCUUAAGUGUCUUUCAAUAAUUUUAAAAGCCGAGUUUUGAAAACUCGUGAUGUUACGAAGGAGUGAAUCGAUGAAGACUUUCUUGUAUUUUUAGGAACGUGCUGUCACUGGAACAGAAGUGACUUUCAGAUCAAGAAUAUUAAAUAUAUAUGGUCCCUGGUGUGGCUUUCUGGAUGCCUGUCAACAAAGAUUACUAAUAAGAUUUGUUGGAUGCAUCGGAUAAAUAUACCAGCAAGUGUUUAUUGUAUGAAAGCUUUUAUAUGACCCGAUGUGCCAGAGAUCUUUUGAGAAAACACUACUUAGAAAGUAGAAGUUACUUGUUCUCUUUGUUUUAUUCAAUUCACUAUGAAUAUGCCUUCUUUGAUAACUCAAUGGUAAUAAUCUGUCGCUGUUUGUUUUGCUUCUAAUCACUAUGUGCCAAAAGAAGGUGCGGUGGAAAUCUAGGGAUCAUAUGAUAUCCUUAUGUGUUUUAAUCACUCAUUUACACUGGUCGAAUAUUGUGCCUUUGUUUAUUUUGAGGUUUUCUAUCAUAUAAAUUGAUCUGACGCUUUUCUAUUUCUGUUCAUCAGUCAUUAUUUUAGUGUCCCUUGACAAAUAUCAUCAUUUAUCCAAUGUGAAGUCAGCUAUGCAUAUUUUUUUCUCUCUCUUGUAACACUGUCACAUUUUGUUCUGUGAGUAUUGUUUCAACUCGUGCAAUUAUAUACAAAUAAAAUUGGUGUUUUAA